CUGUAAUUUAUGUUUAUUGCCAUGGGUUUCGACGGACCAAAUGGCUCAUGCCUGCCUGCACUGUAGCUGAGUCAUGUUUGAUAUCUCAAAGCGGCAGUAAAAAAAAUCUUUAUGGCUCCCAUGCUAUUUUCAUACCUUAUUUAUUCUGUUUUUUUCCCCUGUUUUUAAGUCAUCUUUUGUAUUUUCUUCUUGCUUACUAAGUUGGUUACUAUGGAGAUCAUGACAUCAGUCAUCUUGACUAAGCUUAAUGGUCUUGAGGCAACAUUCAGACUAAAAGUUUUGAUACUUAAAGUGGCUCAACCCUGGAGAACGAGAGCAGAUUGAGAACUGAGGACUGUGGGCUUCAAGCUGCUUCUCUAAUGGAACACAGAGGUGGAAGGCGGUCCCUGCCCACUCGACCAAGGCCACGUGGGGCAGCCCUUUGGGAGGACCGCGCCCCCGGCUAACCAGCCAGGCAGAUAACGGGUUGCAAGAAGGUUUUUUGAGUCUGAAAAGCCUGACUGUUAUGCAUCAAAAGUCAAAGUUGAUGCUUCCAAUGACAGAUGCAGAAGAACACGUGGGGACAGCAAACCCACUGUCUCAGGACCAGGAGGAGGAAAGCCAGAGGGGAAGAAGGAGAAAUCAGUGCAGCGCAGCCCUCUCCUUCCUCUGGCUAAGGCCAGGAAAGUGGAAGGAAGGGGGCAGGAUCCCUACAAAGAUUUUGGAGAAUACAGGAAGGAGACUGCCUCACAAGGGUGACUCUACUGCCACCUUGUCCUGGGAAGAGUCCAGUGGAGAUGGCUGAGGGAACUUCCCGGAUGAGGAAGGAAAUGAGGCGGCAAUGAGCUUCUGAAAGCCCAAAGCGAGGAAAGCAGGAGAGGAAGAGAGCACCUGGCUCCAGGGAACACAAGGCCACACUCAGACUGGCCUCAAGGCUGUGAGGAUGGGAUUCUUCUGCAGCAAGCAGUGAGGGCUGCGGGGGCCUGGAUGCCAGGACAAGGGGUGACUUUGCCUGAGGACAAAAGCUGAUGUUCUGAACUCAGGAUUCCUGUAAGGACAGGCACUACCCAAGCAGCAGGUACCUCCCCUCCCAGCCUCCUCCCCGCCUGCCACGA
rnacentral:lncRNA from 1 species